rnacentral:lncRNA from 1 species
CUCUACUUACAUCAGCCGUUAAAAACUACGGCUGGGUGAUCUUCUUACAACGAGUCGGCUUCAAGGCGAUAACUUUUUGCUUUUCCUCGGUGCUUGUGCUUGAUUUGAUUGUCAUAUCAUAUAAUGCCUGUUACAGUUUCUCCAUUAAUUAGAGGUGCUCGUUGGUCUGCUUUGCUAGUUGGAAUUAGCUAUGGAGCUAUACAUAAUCGAACUGUGAGGAACAUGCGAAUUGAAGAUAUUGCUCAUUUUGAGAAAAAAACAAAAGAAGAAGCUGAAGCAAAAGCAGCAAAAUUAGCUGCUGAAGCAAAUGCUCCAAGUAUCUUAUCAUAGAGUAUUGAAGUUGCGUAAAAUUUUAUCAUCUCAAACAAAAUUUUGUAAUGCUGAGAAAGCUUUUUUCUUCAGAUGUUAUAUCAAAAUAAAAAAAAAUGAAGAGAUUUUUCACA